GACGAACGCUGGCGGCGUGCCUAACACAUGCAAGUCGAACGGGGUAAUCCUUCGGGGUUACUUAGUGGCGAACGGGUGAGUAACGCGUGAGAAACCUGCCUUUCAGUGGGGGACAACAGUUGGAAACGACUGCUAAUACCGCAUAAUGUACACGGACCGCAUGAUCUGUGUACCAAAGCUUUAUGUGCUGAAAGAUGGUCUCGCGUCUGAUUAGCUAGUUGGUGAGGUAACGGCUCACCAAGGCGACGAUCAGUAGCCGGUCUGAGAGGAUGAACGGCCACAUUGGGACUGAGAAACGGCCCAGACUCCUACGGGAGGCAGCAGUGGGGAAUAUUGGGCAAUGGGGGAAACCCUGACCCAGCAACGCCGCGUGAAGGAAGAAGGCCUUCGGGUUGUAAACUUCUUUUAGCAGGGACGAAGAACGUGACGGUACCUGCAGAAAAAGCAACGGCUAACUACGUGCCAGCAGCCGCCGUAACAC
rnacentral:rRNA from 1 species